GUGCCAGUGGUGGAUGGCUCGGCUCGAGUGCCGACGAAGGACGUGCCAAGCUGCGAAAAGCUGCAGGGAGCCGCACGGAGGCUUAGAACUGCAGAUCUCCUAAUGGGAAUCCCUUUACAAUUGCUUCGCGCAAUGGGGAACGUCCAAAACUGAAACAUCUCAGUAAGGACAGGAAAAGAAACCGAACGGGAUGUCGUUAGUAACGGCGAGUGAAGACGACACAGUCCAAACCGAAGGCUUCGGCCAAUGUGGUGUUCGGACUUACCAUACGCGAUCAACGACUCACGAGAACUCUCCUGGAACGGAGGGCGAUACAGGGUGACAGCCCCGUAUCGUGAGUGGGCGAUCGUAGGUUUGUUCCAGAGUAUCGGGGGUUGGAAAUCCCUCGAGAAGACGGCAGGCAUCGACUGCCAAGACUAAAUACAACUCGAGACCGAUAGCGGACAAGUAGCGUGAGCGAACGCUGAAAAGUACCCUGAAAAAGGGGUUGAAAUAAGGCCUGAAAUCAUGUGGCGAUGGAGCGACGGGGCAUAAAAGGCCGUAGACAGAACGACAUGGGGGCGACCCCACAGUAGAAUGUCUGCGGAGCCGAUGUUCCGUCGUACGUUUUGAAAAACGAGCCAGGGAGUGUGUCUGUUUGACGAGUCUAACCCGAGUAUCGGGGAAGGCGUAGGGAAACCAAUAUGGCCGCAGCAUUGCCAGGGCCACCGUGUUCAAGCGCGGGGAGUCAAGCGGGCACGACCCGAAUCCGAGUGAUCUACACAUGGGCAAGGUGAAGCAUGGCGAAAGCCAUGUGGAAGCCUGCUAGAGUUGGUGUCCUACAAUACCCUCUCGUGACCUAUGUGUAGGGGUGAAAGGCCCAUCGAACUCGGUAACAGCUGGUUCCAACCGAAACAUGUCGAAGCAUGACCUCUGCAGAGGUUGUUCGUGAGGUAGAGCGACUGAUUGGGGCGAUCGACGCCGAGAGGCGUCGACACCCCUGUCAAACUCCGAACUUACGAACGCCGUAGACGCAGGGAGCCCGGUGUGCGGGGUAAGCUUGUGCACCGUGAGGGAGACAACCCAGAGCUGGGUUAAGGUCCCAAAAUGUGGAUUAAGUGCGAUUGAAGAUUGUCCCGAGCCCUAGACAGCCGGGAGGUGAGCUUAGAAGCAGCUACCCUCUAAGAAAAGCGUAACAGCUUACCGGCCGAGGUUCGGGGCGUCGAAAAUGAUCGGGGCUCAAAUCCACUACCGAGACCUAGCGGCACGCCUCAUAGCGUGUUCCCGUAGGUUGGCGCUCCGAUUGGGUGGAAGCACGGGUGAGAACUCGUGUGGACCGAUUGGUGACGAAAAUCCUGGCCAUAGUAGCAGCGAUAGUCGGGUGAGAAUCUCGACGGCCUAACGGACAAGGGUUCCUCAGCAAUGUUUGUCAGCUGAGGGUUAGCCGGUCCUAAGUGAUGUCGCAAUUCGAGCAUCACAAAAGGGGAGCUGGUUAAUAUUCCAGCGCUUCCGUACAACGAACGCUGACGCCUCGGGGUCGCCGGAGCCGAGCUUUCGCUCGGUCGAAUCGUCCAAAUCCGUGGAAGCCGUAAUGGCACGAAGCGGAUGAACGGCGAGACAGUGCAAAUCCGGUCAACCUGGGGCCCGUGAAAAAGCAAGUACGGAAUCCGUACCAAGAACCGACACAGGUGUCCGUGGCGGAGAAAGCCAAGGCCUGUCGGGUACAACCGACGUUAGGGAAUUCGGCAAAUUAGUCCCGUAAGUUCGCGAUAAGGGAUGCCUGCCUCGGAAAGAGGCAGGUCGCAGAGUCUAGGACGCUCCGACUGUCUAGUAACAACAUAGGUGACUGCAAAUCCGAAAGGACUCGUACAGUCACUGAAUCCUGCCCAGUGCGGGUAUCUGAACACCUAGUACAAUAGGACGAAGGACCCGUCAACGGCGGGGGUAACUAUGACCCUCUUAAGGUAGCGUAGUACCUUGCCGCUUCAGUAGCGGCUUGCAUGAAUGGAUCAACGAGAGCGUCACUGUCCCAACGUUGGGCCCGGUGAACUGUACGUUCCAGUGCGGAGUCUGGAGACCCCCAAGGGGAAGCGAAGACCCUAUAGAGCUUUACUGCAGGCUGUCGCUGAGACAUGGUCGCUAAUGUGCAGCAUAGGUAGGAGCCGUUACACAGGUACCCGCGCUAGCGGGCCACCGAGGCAUCAGUGAAAUACUACCCGUUAGUGACUGUGACUCUCACUCCGGGAGGAGGACACCGAUAGCCGGGCAGUUUGACUGGGGCGGUACGCGCUCGAAAAGAUAUCGAGCGCGCCCUAAGUCCAUCUCAUCCGGGUCAGGAAUCCGGAGAAGAGCGCAAGAGCAAAAGAUGGGCUGACAGUGUCGUGCCUAACGAGCGACGCUGACGCGAAAGCGCGGUCUAGCGAUCUUAUGUGCCCGCCCGAUGCGGGCCAUAAGUGACAGAAAAGCUACCUUAGGGAUAACAGAGUCGUCACCGGCAAGAGCACAUAUCGACCCGGUGGCUUGCUACCUCGAUGUCGGUUCCCUCCAUCCUGCCCGUGCAGCAGCGGGCAAGGGUGAGGUUGUUCGCCUAUUAAAGGAGGUCGUGAGCUGGGUUUAGACCGUCGUGAGACAGGUCGGCUGCUAUCUAUUGGGGGUGUUUUGGUACUUGACGUGAACGUUCGUAUAGUACGAGAGGAACUACGAAUGGUUGCCACUGGUGUACCGGUUGUCCGAGAGGGCACGUGCCGGGCAGCUACGCAACAAGGGGUAAGAGCUGAACGCAUCUAAGCUCGAAACCCACAUGGAAAAGAAGUACCGUUGAGGUCACUCGUAGAAGACGAGUUCGAUAGACUCGGGGUGUACGCAUCAAGGUAACGAGAUGUUCAGCCCGCGAGCACUAAUCGACCGA
rnacentral:rRNA from 1 species